CGUGUGUGUGUGUGUGUGUGUGUGUAUAGACAUAAACACACACACACACACACACACACACACACA
rnacentral:miRNA from 1 species